rnacentral:rRNA from 1 species
UACGUAGGGGGCUAGCGUUGUCCGGAUUUACUGGGCGUAAAGGGCGCGUAGGCGGCAAAUUAAGUCAGCUGUGAAAUCUCCGAGCUUAACUCGGAACUGUCAGCUGAUACUGAUGUGCUAGAGUGCGGAAGGGGCAAUCGGGAUUCUUGGUGUAGCGGUGAAAUGCGUAGAUAUCAAGAGGAACACCUGAGGUGAAGACGGGUUGCUGGGCCGACACUGACGCUGAGUGCGCGAAAGCCAGGGGAGCAAACGGG